UGUGUUAGUGGAAGCGUCUGGAAAGGCGCGCGAUACAGGGUGACAGCCCCGUACACAAAAAUGCACAUGCUGUGAGCUCGAUGAGUAGGGCGGGACACGUGGUAUCCUGUCUGAAUAUGGGGGGACCAUCCUCCAAGGCUAAAUACUCCUGACUGACCGAUAGUGAACCAGUACCGUGAGGGAAAGGCGAAAAGAACCCCGGCGAGGGGAGUGAAAAAGAACCUGAAACCGUGUACGUACAAGCAGUGGGAGCACAGAGCAAUCUGUGUGACUGCGUACCUUUUGUAUAAUGGGUCAGCGACUUAUAUUCUGUAGCAAGGUUAACCGAAUAGGGGAGCCGAAGGGAAACCGAGUCUUAACUGGGCGUUAAGUUGCAGGGUAUAGACCCGAAACCCGGUGAUCUAGCCAUGGGCAGGUUGAAGGUUGGGUAACACUAACUGGAGGACCGAACCGACUAAUGUUGAAAAAUUAGCGGAUGACUUGUGGCUGGGGGUGAAAGGCCAAUCAAACCGGGAGAUAGCUGGUUCUCCCCGAAAGCUAUUUAGGUAGCGCCUCGUGAAUUCAUCUCCGGGGGUAGAGCACUGUUUCGGCAAGGGGGUCAUCCCGACUUACCAACCCGAUGCAAACUGCGAAUACCGGAGAAUGUUAUCACGGGAGACACACGGCGGGUGCUAACGUCCGUCGUGAAGAGGGAAACAACCCAGACCGCCAGCUAAGGUCCCAAAGUCAUGGUUAAGUGGGAAACGAUGUGGGAAGGCCCAGACAGCCAGGAUGUUGGCUUAGAAGCAGCCAUCAUUUAAAGAAAGCGUAAUAGCUCACUGGUCGAGUCGGCCUGCGCGGAAGAUGUAACGGGGCUAAACCAUGCACCGAAGCUGCGGCAGCGACACUGUGUGUUGUUGGGUAGGGGAGCGU
rnacentral:rRNA from 1 species